GUGUCAGCAGCCGCGGUAAUACGGAGGGCGCAAGCGUUGUUCGGAAUCACUGGGCGUAAAGCGCGUGUAGGCGGCUUGGCAAGUCGGGUGUGAAAUCCCGAGGCUCAACCUCGGAACUGCACUCGAAACUGCCUGGCUCGAGUCCCGGAGAGGGUGGCGGAAUUCCCGGUGUAGGGGUGAAAUCCGUAGAUAUCGGGAGGAACACCAGUGGCGAAGGCGGCCACCUGGACGGUGACUGACGCUGAGACGCGAAAGCGUGGGGAGCAAACAGGAUUAGAUACCCUGGUAGUCCACGCCGUAAACGGUGAGUGCUAGACGUCGCGGGUAUUGACCCCCGCGGUGUCGCAGCUAACGCGUUAAGCACUCCGCCUGGGGAGUACGGCCGCAAGGCUAAA
rnacentral:rRNA from 1 species